rnacentral:lncRNA from 1 species
UUAAAUUAGUUUACUUCAGUUAUGGAAAUAUCAAAUUCAAUAUAUUUUAAUAUUAAUUUCUUAUUAACAGUUCUGGUUACUUAUAAUUAAUAUGAUUCUACCCAUAUACUUUAUUUUUAUAGCAAACUCAUAUUUUGGAUUGUGUAUUGCUAUCCAUAAAUUUACACAUGUACUUUCAUAAUUUAAUUGUGGUUAAUGAGUUUUUGGCAGCAGUAUACAAUACACAGAUUAAAAUUAAUUCUGAACUGAUGCUAGAAGAAAGAUGAGUUCACAUAUUGCAUCUUGAUAAUAGUGCU